GUUUGGGGUAAAAAAACUACAAGGUUUCCGUUGGUGAACCAGCGGAGGGAUCAUUA
rnacentral:rRNA from 1 species